CUUGUUUCCACCAGUGCCUCUCUGGCAAUGAAAGACAGAGGUGUUGUUUGUUAGUAGUGGCAAUAAUUCAACUAUUGCUAGCUCUGCCAAAGCACCUGUGCUGCCAGCCUUCAGGGAGGUGCCAUGCAAACACUGGCUGAGUGUGACUCCCUUGCCCUCAAGAGCGCUCUGAUUUGGACUGGGCUCCUGUGCCGUAACGUUUCCUUGUGCAGGUUCUGUAUGUUUGAACAGCUAUUUGUGGAUAUGCUCCUUUCCAAACUGUCAAGAGGGAGAAGCAAAGGAAUCACUUUUCAACCUCUGAUCUCCCAAGUAUUCUUAAUGGGCAUGUAUCCAGACAUUUUCAUUAAUGCUUAUGUCUUCAAGUUAUAGAAACGUUUCAGCCAUUUCUCUCUAAGGUGUGCCUUCAGUGGUCUUCACUGCUUUUUUAUGUCUGGGCUGGACUGCAAAAAGGAGGAGGAGAGGAGAAAUGGACUAUAUAUAGACCACAACUUACAGAAGUCUUACAGAAAUUAUGCUAACUUGCCUUCCUCUUAUUCUUGGAGAAACAUUUGCAGACACUAGAAGAAUCACUUUGGCUUCUGACUUCCACUCCUUCCUUUUGGACUUCAGUAAAAUAUGCUGCAGUAAUGACCCUGCACAACAGAAAACAAUGAUACAGGUUAAUGCUACCAAACUUUAUGUAUUAAAUUGCAGUGAGUGAAUUAAGAACGUGCAUGUCUUACACUGCCA
ensembl:lncRNA